rnacentral:misc_RNA from 1 species
GUAUUGUAUUGCGUUAAACGCGACGUACAUUCCAUGAGACUUUGUUACAGUGUGUGUGUAAAGACAUAGAACCACAGCAAGAGGACAGAGUCCCCCAAGCCACAGAACUACAGAGGGUGCACAGGUGUGAGUGGAUGUGCAAACAGAGCGUGCACAUGCCCCCGUUUGAGGACCAGCAACAACUCGUGUCGACAAUUCGGUAAUGAUCCUUCCGCAGGUUCACCUACGGAAA